GCGGGUGAGUGGGUCUAGGCUCCGGGGGCUCCAGCUGCUUCCCCACCCGUCCCCGAGAGACCCCCUCAUUCCACCCCCGCGAGCCCUGGACUCGCCGCCUGCGCAGCCUCUAUGUAGCUCCUCGUGUGUCUUUUGGUUUUUCAGAGAUCCCUCUGUACUUUGUGGACUUGCAGGAUGACUUAAAGGACUGCCGUUCCACUGGCUGUCAAGUCCUGCACUGACAGAUUUUCCUCUCAGGCCUUGGAUGUUGCAGCUUCAGCCUUGCUGCCUUCAUGUUGUGUGAGGAGAGGGCAGCCAGCCUUCAUUCCAUGUGUGGAGUCUUGGUGACCAGUGGUGAGAUGUUCCUGUUUGCCUCCAUGGAGCUCACUGAGAGGAGCCCACUGUGUGGACUGAGCUGAUGGAGCAAAUCCCUUCCCUGUUGCUUUCUUGCAAGAAAGCAGGUUGGAUGUUCCUGUGAUGGUCUCCCAGUACGUUGUGCCUGUUGUAGCGCGGUACCUUGAGGAUCCAGACAACCAGGUCAGAAAAUCCAGCCAGGAAGUGCUACUGGCCCUUCUGGAGCAAGGUCUCAUUUCCCACUGUGACAUUGAAGGCAAAGUAUGUCCCGCUCUGCUGGAGCAGUCUACCCCCAGCCGGCUGUGAUGAAUGCAGAACAGAAGCCAUGAACUCGAGUUCAGGUAUUAUCUGCCUGCCACAUUGAAAGCAGCACAGCUCGACUCUGCUGGUGAACCUGAGAGCAAGCAGACACAAGGUCUGAAGGAAGAGCCUGUGUCAGAUCCCAGCCCUGCCUCUGACAAUCACAUCCUCCUGUCAGCUUCAUCAUCUCAGAAUGAGCUCUCCGUGGCCAGGAUAUUACAGAGCACAUUGCUUCAUGAGGACAAGAGGAGAGAGCACCUCUCUGCCAGCUGCAGGAGUUGGUGUCGACUGACAGCAGCCUGAACUGGAGGGUUUGGUAUGAACCAGCAGAGUACAUACAACUUAGUCAUCUCUCGAAUAAUUGUCUUCCUGAAGAAAUCCAUCAGGCUUUUGCAGCUAUUUAGGAUAUGAUUUGGCCGGUGCCAGGAGCAAACCGGAAGAUUUUCUCUUUGCUGUGAGCUUUAAUCAUUAUCCUUAAUUUGAGAAAUUGAGGUUUAGUCAUUAUGUUAUGUUCUCAGCACACUCCUGCAAAGAACUGGAAAAACAACCUGAGCCCCGCGCGGCGGCCCUGCGCCCCCUGGCGGCGGGUGCUGGACGGGCCCCUGGCGGCCCGGGCCCUAUCUCCCAUCGCUAGGCUUAUUGCAGCGGCCGGCCGCGAUAAGGGCUGCGAUAUUGGCCUCAUUUUCCCCCGCCGACGGCGGGAGCGAUAUGAAGCCGCUCGCCGCCGCCCGCUUCCUCCCCGCCCUUUUUCAUUUCCUCUGCCCGCGUACAAAUCACACUCCUCUUUCUCACCCGAGCCGAGCGGGGCCGCGGCGAGACAGAAAAAAGUGAGGGAAAAACACCUAGAGGAAAGCCGAGGGGGAAAAAGAGAGAGGGGGAAAAGACCUAGCGAGAAAAAGAGAGGGAGAAAAACCUACCAAGAAAGAGCGAGGGGGAAAAGACCUGCCGAGAAAAGGAGAAAGACCUAGCAAAAAACCUAGGCGGGGAAAGAGCAAGGAAAAGCGGCGGAUAGAUCUAUGGAAAACCCGAGGGGAGAAAAAAGAGGAAAAAGACCUAGCUCAGAAAGGCGAAGGAGAAAAAUCUGCCGAGAAAGAUCGAGGAGAGAAAACCUAACAAGGAGGACUGAGGGGAAAAGACUUGCCGAGAAAGAUCGAGGGGGAAAAAACAACAACAACAAAAAAUAGCGAGGGGGACUGAGGGGAAAAGACUUGCCGAGAAAGAUCGAGCAGGGAGAAAAAAAACCCAAAAAAACUAGCGAGGGGGACUGAGGGAGAAAAACCUGCCGAGAAAGAUCGAGGGAAAAAAAAAACUAGCGAGGGGGACUGAGGGAGAAAAACCUGCCGAGAAAGAUCGAGGGAAAAAAAAAAAAAAAAAACUAGCGAGGGGGACUGAGGGGAAAAAACCGGCCGAGAAAGAUCGAGGGAGAAAAAAAUAGCGAGGAGGACUGAGGGGAAAAAACCGGCCGAGAAAGAUCUAGGGGAAAAAAAAAUAGCGUGCAGGAGCAAGGGAAAAAGACCUGCCGAGAAAGAUCGGAGAAAAAAAAAAUCUACCGAGAAGGAUCGAGGAGGAAAAACCUGCCGAGAAAGAUCGAGGGGAAAAAAAAAAAAACCUAUCGGGAAGGAGCGAGGAGAACCCCGCCGAGAAAGAUCAAGGGGAAAAAAAAAAAAAAAAAAACUAUCGGGAAGGAGCGAGGAGGAAAAACCUGUCGAGAAAGAUCGAGGGGGGAAAAAAAGCUAUCGGGAAGGAGCGAGGGGAAAAGACCGCCGAGAAAGAUCGAGGGGAAAAAAAAUGUACCGAGAAGCAGCGAGGGGGAAAGACCGCCGAGAAAGAUCUAGGGGAAAAAACCCUAUCGAGAAGGAGCGAGGGGAAAAACAAAACAAAGACCUGCCGAGAAGGAGCGAGGGGCAAAAAAAAAAAAAAAAAACCCUUCCGAGAAGGAGCGAGGGGAAAAGGACAGGCGAGCCAGACGGCUAAGUGGGGAAAGCGCGCGAGCAAAUGCCGGGGAAUAAAAGGAAACAGAUUGAGAAAGAGCGGGCGAAAACGCUAGGGGAAAGCGAUCGAGAUAGAACAACGACAGGGAAAGCGAUGUUGAAAAUGAGGAAGGGGCGAGCAAAGAAAAAAAAAUAGAAGGAGAAAGAACAAGGGGAAACGGCGAAGAAAAGAGCGCGGGCGCCGCCAUCCGCCGCUCGGCUCCUCGCUCUGGCUCGCCAAGGCGGCCCGGGAAGUGCUGCAGCCCUUGGCUGCUUUUACGUGGUCUGGUGUAGGGCAGACUUGUGUGUGUUUCAACCAUAAUCGGACGCUGGAACCCCAAACCCACUCCCCGAACGCCCGAACCCCUAUUUUACAAAACGCGCGGUGCACAAUGCACGGCGGCUUCGGCACACCCGCUGCUCCCGCUGACGCUGCGCCCGCGCGCGGCCGACGGAGGGAAGGAGCGGGAACUGCUCGGUAACUAAGGUGGUAGGGGUCCCUCUGCUUGUGCUUGCAGGCAACAGCUGAUGCUGGUCUUGGAUUUGUACGACCCCAGCAACGUUCACGGUUACCUGACACACGUUGCCCUGAGGUUGAAGCAAAGUUUCUCAAGCACGCUGCAUUUCAUUCAAGCUAGUAAGGAGCCGGCCUUGUAAAUAGCAUUUACACAUUCUUGCAAAUAGAACUUUCUCUUUCCAUCUUUUAUUUUUUUUCUGGGCUCUAUUUGUCAUUUUCUCUAUAAGCCCAGCUUUUAAUUUUUGCAGUUAGAAGCUAUAUUGUUUCAUCAAUUUUCAGGAUAGCCUUUUUAUUCAUUUAUGCUUCCAUAAUGGGAGCUGUGCAGAAAUCAUUUUGUAUACGAAACUCUUUAAAUAAUAGCGUAGGGUUUUUUGUUUGUUUGUUUGUGCAUGUGUAUAUUUGUUGUUGAAUUUCCACAGCUUUGUAUAACAAUUCAUGAUGAACAAAGCCUUGGGCAGAAGAAGUAAUCCUGGUUUUUAUGGAUGUCUCCCAGCCCUAGAGAAGAAGUCUUACUUGAAAAUAGUGAUUUUUAAAUUUCUUGAUGAUAGUGAGAUUUUAUAAAAAAUGCCCUGCCCUCAAAGAUAGCAAUGGAUUCAUUUUGAAAGGUGAUGUUUUUUCCAAACCGGAGCCCUUCUGCUGAUGGAUUUGUCUAAUGUUACUGACCUUGUUUUUUUAUUUCCCUCGGAGAGGGUUAUGUGCAUGUAUGUAUUUUAAAGACCGAUUGAAAAUCUCCUCUGCGUGUGCUAGUGAUAACUGAAGGAGAUGCUUUCCUUUGCUUGUAAAUUGAUUGUGAAGGUGAACGUGGACAUGAGGAUGCCGUGUGCUGUGGAGAGCGCUGCCUGUAAUUGCCUCAGCCGGCAGGCACUGCAGCCCGAAGCCGGCCUCACGGCUGCCUCUCUGAUGGUGCUCACAGGUGGUGGUGAUGCCGGGGAAGUUCUCUUCCGCGGUGCCUGUGCUCUGAGGCUUAGUUUCAUCUAGGAGCUCACAUGCUGGCAUUGCUCUGAGUGGGUUGGAAGGCAGGCUUCUGCUUACAUAUGCCGGCUUAGCACAGCCACGGGAGAAUCUGCCUAUGGAUUCCUUUCCCUGGCAGAGGCUAGGGAAACUUUACUGAGCCUCCUCACCUUGUAGGAGACUGACCAGCUCUAUGAGGUACAGUAUCUUGUCCAUGGUCACCCUGAGCACUUUGUUCACACCCCAGACACAGUCGGUACCUACUGUGUACUGUGUACUGUAUAUCCUGAAGAUGAAAUCCGUGCAGAGCCAGCCAGCUCUCCCGGCAGAGCCAGCCCUCUCAGAGCUGUUACACUUUCUCCAGGCUGUACCUGAGUGGUAGGUCAGAGUGUAGGAACCCCUUUUCAUGUCCCAGGCUUCAAGCUUAUAUCACCUUGCCGUCUCAGUAACCCCCUCUGACUAGUACCUUGGAAAUGUUUGUGCAUGUGUGUGUCAUAGAGUGCUGGCUUGAAUGUCAGCCAUCUUAGUACAUCUGAUUCUCUAGUAAUGGCUCCUGAGUAUGGACCACGGUGGAACAUGACAGCGUGCCUGUUUACCUUUAAGGGUAGUUGUUUUAGGUGAAGCAUUAACCCUCAAAAGGCCAAGUGACCUAGUCAGGAUCCCACUAGACAUGGAAAGCUAUGGUUUUGGUUUUGAGGGUUUUGUUCCCCAAAAUAUUAUUUUAAUCAUUUUGGUGUUUCAUUAUGCUGUCUUCUGGGACCACAAAGGCAAAGGGGGUGAACGCCAUCUCCAGGAGCUUUGCUGACAGACAGCUUUGAUGGAGCCAAUCCUAAGCCCAGUCCUGCAGGCCUCUUGCCUGCUGCCUGGUAAACAACUGCAGUGAGAGGACUCACAAGCGCCCCCUGUUGGGCUAGAAGGACAUAGCCAGUAUUUUUCCACUGCACAGCCAUUAUGUGAAGAAGAAA